rnacentral:tRNA from 1 species
AGUUAAAUGGCUGAACUACAGGCAAUAGAUUGUAAAUUUAUGUAUGAGAAUAUUCUCUUUAACUA